UAGACUUCCUUCUUCUACGAGGAUUGGAGUAUAAGCUACGGCAAAAGCAACCACCAUUCAGUACGCAGAUGGAGUCUUUGCCUUUCAGGUGUGCAUCUACAUCACAAGUUUUGCUUGCUUGUGUAACCAAACCAUGUUAUGAAAGAACGAAAGUAGAUAGAGAAAUGGAUGCAAAGGAUGCACAUACCGUUCUACUGGAACGCAUCAUUAACAAUAUGGUUAUGGAACACUUCUACAUCUGAUGCAUCUUGAUUUGUUAAGAAGUCAUAUGGUGAAGAUGGAGUCUUUGCCUUUCAGGUGUGCAUCUACAUCACAAGUUAGUCAACUAUAUAUACUCAUAAUUCAUGACUGGCAAUUUCAACGGUCCUUUGAAUGGUGAGAAGACAUAAAUUAAUUGAAAAUGGUCUUUAUGUGCAUGUUUUGCUUGCUUAUGUAACCAAACCAUGUUUAUCAUCUUUUAGUUUUAGUUUUCUUUUCAGGCAAAGAAUGAACCGAUUCUAAGCAGCUUCUUAUAUGCUAGCAUACUGUCACAUGAUUGUUUAGAGCGAGCAUUAGGAUUUAUUAUUGCUAACCGCCUCCAAAAUAAUACUUUGUUAGAAACCCAAUUGAUGGAUAUAUUUUGUGAUGUAUUGGUUCAAAACCGACACAUCAAAUGAGCAUUACGCAUGGAUCUACAGGUGAUACCAUCAGCAUGUAUUCAAUGUCCUCUGUCUUUUUAUAUGACUUACCGAUAUUUUUUGUUUGGUUUUGUCGUUACUUUACAAAGGAACUUAUUUUAUUUUUCAAUUAACAUCUUUCCACAGGCAUUUAAAGAAAGAGAUCCUUCAUGCUUGUAUUAUUGCUCCGCUCUUUUAUACCUAAAGGGUUACCAUUCUUUACAAACGCAUUGAGUAGCACGUCUUCUGUAUACGCCGAGGGUUUCACGGAAUUCGGACUCUGUUGACUUUGAGAGUUGACUUUCACUGCGAUUUAACUGAAUUCAUAUACAAUUCACUUAGCGGAAUCGAGUAAACCCGUGGCUGUUGGCUUUGGCAAUUCAAAACCUGAGCAUGUGAAACAGGCAAG